GGUAUAGCACAGUGGUAGAGCAUUCGACUAUUAAUCGAGAGGUCCCCGGUUCGAAUCAGGGUGUCACCU